rnacentral:snRNA from 1 species
GUGCUCGCUUUGGCAGCACAUAUACUAAAAUUGGAACGAUACAGAGAAAAUUAGCAUGGCCCCUGCGCAAGAAUGACACGCAAAUUUGUGAAGCAUUCCAUAUUUU